CAGCCGCCGCGGGAAUACGAAGGGUGCAAGCGUUACUCGGAAUUACUGGGCGUAAAGCGUGCGUAGGUGGUGGUUUAAGUCCGUUGUGAAAGCCCUGGGCUCAACCUGGGAAUUGCAGUGGAUACUGGCUCGCUAGAGUGUGUCAGAGGAUGGUGGAAUUCCCGGCGUAGCGGUGAAAUGCGUAGAGAUCGGGAGGAACAUCAGUGGCGAAGGCGGCCAUCUGGGACAACACUGACGCUGAGGCACGAAAGCGUGGGGAGCAAACAGGAUUAGAUACCCGAGUAGUCCCUGUCUCUUAUAC
rnacentral:rRNA from 1 species